UACGUAGGAUGCAAGCGUUGUCCGGAAUUAUUGGGCGUAAAGAGCUUGUAGGCGGUUUGUCGCGUCUGCUGUGAAAUUUCGGGGCUCAACCCCGAACUUGCAGUGGGUACGGGCAGACUAGAGUGUGGUAGGGGAGACUGGAAUUCCUGGUGUAGCGGUGAAAUGCGCAGAUAUCAGGAGGAACACCGAUGGCGAAGGCAGGUCUCUGGGCCAUAACUGACGCUGAGAAGCGAAAGCAUGGGGAGCGAACAGG
rnacentral:rRNA from 1 species